rnacentral:lncRNA from 1 species
UUUGGAUUCCCCGGCAAGCGGCGGCGGCCGGAACCGGAACCCACGCGACGGCGACACUGGCACCGCGCUCGGAGGCGCUGGAGCCAGCCCCCUCCCCGGAGACUAGUAGGUGGCCAGCUCGCCACGGCCAACCACUGGAACUGUUCGGUUCCACUUCGGCGUUCAGGUGGAGCUCUCCGCCACAACCUCGACUGUCUCCGUUCAGGUGGACUUUUGUCUUGAUAUAUGCUUCUUCAAGUCAGAUCUGCUGUUCUAGCACUGUAUGUGCGUGGGUGGUAACUGGUAACGGGUCAAUUUCUUCAAAGUAUCGAAUGCGGUGAGGCACAAAGUAAUUUUUUUUUCUUUUAACAAAGACGGCAAGGUUCAUUCAGACGAAUUAUCUCCAUGGGUACCGGACUAACCGAAUGGACGCUUUUGACAUUUUAUUAGUAGUAUAUGCGUAGCAACAAAAACAUGCCCAAGUGAUUCAUUUUCUGGAGCUGCCUGUUUACAGUUACAGCCUUUAAAAUGAAAAGGUAUACACUUGAGCUAAAACUGUUAUAUGCAUGAACAUAACCUGUCCUGCCCUUACUUUCAUAAAAAAUAAAUGAACAUAACCUGAUGACUUGUAUUCUCUUAGCAUAUACAACUUGCUUGACACCACACUGGAAUUUAAACUUCUCUUUUGUACACAACUAAAAAUCAGUAUCCAGCAAGUAAGACCAGAUGUGUGUUGAAUCCUGUGUUCAACUCAUGCUUCAGCCUUCAGAUAUCUGUGGAGCAGAUUUAUGUGUACUCAUCUUGCUUCUUAGCUCUUCAAAAGCUUUCAUGCUUUCUGCAUCAAAUCCCCCAGCAAACUGCAGAAGGUAGAUGAAUAAGUUACUGAUUCGAAAUAUUCAUAUCACCUGUGAAGUACCUGGGUUCUGAAAAUAUUGGCGUGAGGAUUUUACCUGAUGAACACGGAAAGAGAACCUCACACCCUGCCACCCUGGAGAAGCAAAAACUCUCUAUUGGGCUCUUUCUCAGUGCCUUCCAACGCAUCAAGUUCUGAUGCAACCCUCUUCAUAUACUUGUUCGCAAGCUGAACAGAUGCCAAUUUGAUAUAUCCAACAUGCAAAUAAAUUAUUGAGUUCAUUUAGGUGCAUACUCUGAGUAAAAUCAUACCCACCUUCAUAAGGAAUUAAAAAUGCAUGUUUUUAACACAUGUUUGGCGAAAUUGGAGUGUAUGCUAGAGAUGCACACCUUGCCAACUACUCCGGAAUCAGACAACCAGUCAACUGGGAUCCCAUACUCCUUGUAGCGUGAGGGACAUGUCUCUUGUACGGAGUAGUGCAUAGACACACUGCUCCACUCUGGCAUAAGUAUUGAUGCUAGUUAGUACAAUGAAACCAUCACUUUUGAGUAAAAUUAUGUUCAUCACAUACAUAUCUUGAACCAGGCAAAAAUGUUGCUGUUUCACUCUGAAGGACUAUGCUAGAGAGAAUACUAGGUCUGAUGAGACACUUACUUUUCAAGCAAAGAAUACAUCUUCUUGAGAGCUUAUUCACAUGCAAGUUGUGGAUCAUCGGUAAAGGAUGAAACCUUGUUCUGUAACUUUAUCAGAUCCUGGUAUUCAAAAGCUGCUUCUCUUAUUGCAUCUGUUUUGCUCUCUGGCCAAUCAAAAUGCUUUAACACUGCUCGCUCAUCAACCUAAAAUGUGAAAAUGUGUCAUAAGUACAAUAACUGGUACUUUGUAACAAAGGUGUAGUAUGGAGGGCCUGUUCGGGCUGCUUACCAAGAAAGAUAACUCCUCAUCCAACCAAUUUACAAAUGCAACAACAUCAUCAAUAUUUACAAAGCUUGCUGCUCGGACCUCAUUUGCUAGAGACUCAACAAAUUCUCCUUGUGUCUCCACAUCAGCUUUUACCUGGAGCAUUCCAUGUUUUUAUAAAACAUUUGUCACUUUGCAUUAUUAAAAUUUGGUUACUAGUUAUAAUUAUGUAUUAAUAGUGGAACUCAUAAAUUUGGCAGGAUUCUUGUGCCAGGUGGUGCCGGCAAAAAAUACUUACAGCUAAGAGGAAUGUUGAUCUGUUCUCGAUCUCUCCAAUCAUGUUACUUCUGGCAUCAUAAACAUUGGAUGACAUUGAUCCUAAAGAUGUCUCUCUUUUUGCUUCACGCUUCAUGAGACUUUGAUA